rnacentral:rRNA from 1 species
GGCCCGAGUUGUAAUUUGAAGAGGAUGCUUCUGGCAAGGUGCCGUCCGAGUUCCCUGGAACGGGACGCCGCAGAGGGUGAGAGCCCCGUACGGUCGGACGCCGAGCCUCUGUGAAGCUCCUUCGACGAGUCGAGUAGUUUGGGAAUGCUGCUCAAAAUGGGAGGUAAACCCCUUCUAAAGCUAAAUACCGGCCAGAGACCGAUAGCGCACAAGUAGAGUGAUCGAAAGAUGAAAAGCACUUUGAAAAGAGAGUUAAAAAGCACGUGAAAUUGUUGAAAGGGAAGCGCUUGCGACCAGACUCGCGCCCGUCGGAUCAGCCGUCGCUCGUCGGCGGCGCACUCCGGCGGGCUCGGGCCAGCAUCAGUUCGCCUCGGGGGGAGAAAGGCGGCGGGAAUGUGGCUCUACGGAGUGUUAUAGCCCGCCGCGUAAUACCCCCGGGCGGACUGAGGACCGCGCGUAUGCAAGGAUGCUGGCGUAAUGGUCGUCAGCGACCCGUCUUGAAACACGGACCAAGGAGUCGUCCUAAUAUGCGAGUGUACGGGUGUCAAACCCCUGCGCGUAAUGAAAGUGAACGGAGGUGAGAGCUUCGGCGCAUCAUCGACCGAUCCUGAUGUUCUCGGAUGGAUUUGAGUAAGAGCAUAUUGGGCCGGACCCGAAAGAAGGUGAACUAUGCCUGUGUAGGGUAAAGCCAGAGGAAACUCUGGUGGAGGCUCGCAGCGG